CGCCUAACACAUGCAAGUCGAACGAAGUAGCAAUACUUAGUGGCAGACGGGUGAGUAACAUGUAGGUAUCUUCCCUUUGGCCUGGAAUAACACGAGGAAACUUGUGCUAAUACCGGAUAAGUCUUUACGGAGAAAGCUUUAUGCACCAUUGGAUGAGCCUGCACUUGAUUAGUUUGUUGGUGGGGUAAUGGCCUACCAAGACUGUGAUCAAUAGCUGAUUUGAGAGGAUGAUCAGCCACAUUGGGACUGAGACACGGCCCAAACUCCUACGGGAGGCAGCAGUGGGGAAUCUUGCACAAUGGAGGAAACUCUGAUGCAGCGAUGCCGCGUGAGUGAAGAAGGCCCUUGGGUUGUAAAGCUCUUUCGUCGGGGAAGAAAAUGACUGUACCCGAAUAAGAAGGUCCGGCUAACUUCGUGCCAGCAGCCGCGGUAAUACGAAGGGACCUAGCGUAGUUCGGAAUUACUGGGCUUAAAGAGUUCGUAGGUGGUUGAAAAAGUUGGUGGUGAAAUCCCAGAGCUUAACUCUGGAACUGCCAUCAAAACUUUUCAGCUAGAGUAUGAUAGAGGAAAGCAGAAUUUCUAGUGUAGAGGUGAAAUUCGUAGAUAUUAGAAAGAAUACCAAUUGCGAAGGCAGCUUUCUGGAUCAUUACUGACACUGAGGAACGAAAGCAUGGGUAGCGAAGAGGAUUAGAUACCCUCGUAGUCCAUGCCGUAAACGAUGUGUGUUAGACGUUGGAAAUUUAUUUUCAGUGUCGCAGCGAAAGCGAUAAACACACCGCCUGGGGAGUACGAC
rnacentral:rRNA from 1 species